CCCUACGGGGGGCAGCAGUGGGGGAUAUUGCACAAUGGGGGGAACCCUGAUGCAGCGACGCCGCGUGGGUGAAGAAGCGCCUCGGCGCGUAAAGCCCUGUCAGCAGGGAAGAAAAUGACGGUACCUGAAGAAGAGGCCCCGGCUAACUACGUGCCAGCAGCCGCGGUAAUACGUAGGGGGCAAGCGUUAUCCGGAUUUACUGGGUGUAAAGGGGGCGCAGACGGCGCUGCAAGCCAGGAGUGAAAGCCCGGGGCCCAACCCCGGGACUGCUCUUGGAACUGCGUGGCUGGAGUGCAGGAGGGGCG
rnacentral:rRNA from 1 species